rnacentral:sRNA from 1 species
AUGGUCCACUCGUCCACGCCGGUUCUGAGCGCGCCGUCCACACCCACCUGACGACUGCUCGCUACGUUUUAUUAGCA